rnacentral:rRNA from 1 species
AGCAGCCGCGGUAAUUCCAGCUCCAAUAGCGUAUAUUAAAGUUGUUGUGGUUAAAAGCUCGUAGUUGAACCUUGGGCCUGGCCGUCCGGUCCGCCUCACCGCGUGUACUGGCUCGGCCGGGCCUUUCCCUCUGUGGAACCCCAUGCCCUUCACUGGGCGUGGCGGGGAAACAGGACUUUUACUGUGAAAAAUUAGAGUGCUCCAGGCAGGCCUAUGCUCGAAUACAUUAGCAUGGAAUAAUAGAAUAGGACGUGUGGUUCUAUUUUGUUGGUUUCUAGGACCGCCGUAAUGAUUAAUAGGGACAGUCGGGGCAUCAGUAUUCAAUUGUCAGAGGUGAAAUUCUUGGAUUUAUUGAAGACUAACUACUGCGAAAGCAUUUGCCAAGGAUGUUUUCAUUAAUCAGGAACGAAAGUCAGGGGAUCGAAGACGAUCAGAUACCGUCGUAGUCUU